CGGCGCCACCGCCCAGGAGUGUGGGUUGAGUGGGUGUUGCACCGACUCCGAUUUCGUGUUCUGUGUGAUGCUCUACGGCCAGAGAUUGGCAUUGCAUGCACAUGGCCGAGACGUUUUGAUUUCAUUCGGUUAGAUUUUGGCUCGACAGCAUGGAGACGUCCAUGCUGUACGAGAUGGCCUUCGAUAUUUGCGCAUGCUAGAGUGACCCUUCGGGGCUGUUUUGAUGUUGUGGGUUUCGUCCCUUUAUUAACAUCUGCCGAUAUUAAUAAAGCUAUCGUUUGUGGCGUCUGUGUUUUGGUUGCCUUCCUGUGCAGCGCAGGCACAGCGCUUACAUGGUGGAGAUGCGAUUUCGAUCCCCGAUCCCCCUAUCGACGCUACCUUCUUCUACACAGAUUUUGGAUGCGGGGCUUUGUCCUGCACAGCGCUUACAGUGUUUUACUCAACUGUGCGCAUCGCCGAAUUUCCUUGUACGGCCUACCGGAUUCCACGCAUACGCUACAGCGCAGUGUGGAGUGACGCCGUAUCGCGAACCCGGAAAUAUCAGCAUCGUAUCCCGACACAUCGUGGAGGACCGGAGCUGAUUUCUCCUCACCAACAGCCGACAUCUGCCUUCUUCGCACAUCGGAGGAACGACCAGACACUGGGGAUUCUUCCGUGAGGGAGCAGACAAGCGGAAACGAGAUCCUGCGUUCUAGACGACAGUCGGAAAGCAGCACACCGAACGCACCGCACCGUACAAUCGUCACGUCGUGUCAGUGCAGAUUGAAUGGAGCCGAUACCGUUCAGCGUUAUCGUAAUGAUAGCUAAUCGAACCGCCGGGCAAUAUGCCAGAUGAUUUGUUUAUCAAAUUGCCGACCGCGCCACAUGGCGACGAUGCCGAAAUUUUCCACAUUACUGUGGAAGAAAAAAGCCGACACGAUCUGUGUUUUCCGAAUUUAUUAGCGAAACACUGAGUGUUAUCGCUGGCGCCGCUGCUACCGAUCCUGCUGACACUGACGUCGACAUGGUGCUGGAUGCAACUGCUGAAUGAUCGGAAACGUGAGAUUGGAGGAUGAACGGAUUCUCCAGAAUGGAACGCACCAGUGGGAUACUUUCAUUUAUUUUUGUGAGAAAGAUAGAAUAUGCCGCCAUGUUGGGCCGCAUUUUUACUCAUUACUCUGUUCAUUUACCGACGUGUUUUGAUUUUGUUUAUUGCUGUGCUAUGGCCUCGAGGGACCUCGGCGUCCCGCCCCGUGGCAUGUCAGGAGAUCGGCGCCACCGCCCAGGAGUGUGGGUUGAGUGGGUGUUGCACCGACUCCGAUUUCGUGUUCUGUGUGAUGCUCUACGGCCAGAGAUUGGCAUUGCAUGCACAUGGCCGAGACGUUUUGAUUUCAUUCGGUUAGAUUUUGGCUCGACAGCAUGGAGACGUCCAUGCUGUACGAGAUGGCCUUCGAUAUUUGCGCAUGCUAGAGUGACCCUUCGGGGCUGUUUUGAUGUUGUGGGUUUCGUCCCUUUAUUAACAUCUGCCGAUAUUAAUAAAGCUAUCGUUUGUGGCGUCUGUGUUUUGGUUGCCUUUCUGUGCAGCGCAGGCACAGCGCUUACACCGCUUAACUACCCUAGUCUUUGUGCAAAACCAAGUUUUUUUUUUUUGCAGCGGUAUUUUAAUUUUAUGCUCGAUUUUUGGGCUCAUGUGUAUUGUGGAAAUGCGUUCCUUUGAGGAAUGGAACCACCCUGAAAUUUUUAUCCACACCGGUGAGCAUCUGAACAUUACCGCCGACAGAAUUUUGGCAGAAUACGCCGCAGCGCCAACCACCACGCCUAAGGCUAUUAGCACUACAUACGAUGACUGGUACAAUGGGCGGAUUCCUAUUCAGUAGCAUGGGAUCAUCAUGAAGUAUUCAUCCAUACUGCUAAGCAGGAGCAUCAGGACCUGAUCGCCGAAGGAUGAAUAACGCCAGACCCAACCGCCGCAGCGCCGAUCAUCUGGACUUCUCAGAAUGACGUUUUACAAUUGGUGGGUUCAGUGGGGCGAUUCCUAUUCAAUAAGCCCUGGGGACUGGAUAGCGCAACGUCUCAAGCACUUGGUGUUUGAAUUUUUAUGGUCACGAAACUUGCGGCAUACACGGCAUGUACUAUUAUAAAAGAAGCAAAUAGAUCUCUUGCAUGAACUUUGCUCCAACUCUAAAUCACGCAUUUGUCGAAGUCAUGCUGUUAAAGAUAGCGGUACAUACAUACAAAACACAUCUUGACGAAUCAUCGCACUAGUACCAGUAGUGGUGAUCACUGAUAAGUAUGCCCAUUGCAUGUGAUUGGAUCAGCACACCACCAUCAACGGACAGAAUAAGAUUUCUUUCAACGGAAUAAAAAUCAGUGUUCGGCGUUAGUGACGCUAUUAUUUGUAGUUGUGACAGAGUAAAGUCCGCAGUUCUAUAGAAGUAUUUAUUGCAUCGCGCAUAUCGGAUUCGGAUACAUAAGGACCAGUGAGACCAUGUUCAUCAGUGAGACCAUGUUCAUUAGUACGCUUUUCUAAGCGCGCAAGCCGUAAUGUUGCAAGGGGCACAUCG